UCUCUCGUAGCUUAGUGGUUAAAGCAUUGGCGCGUAAAGCCGAAGGCCCCGGGUUCGAUUCUCGGCGAGGAUG
rnacentral:tRNA from 1 species